CGUUGAGCAGACGGGGACACAAAAUCAAGUGGCACUGAGUUUCACAACACGAGGGAGUCGGGACACAAAUACUGCACAAUGGAACGUGCUCAUACUCGGUCUUGUUCAACCUCAAAAGUAGCUGGCUCAAAACUUUCUAGACCAUCGGAAACAAUGAAGAGAAAUAUCCCUGUCAUUGAUGAAUCCGUUGCGGAGGACGUAGCGGAAAUUUCUUCCACCGCUAUGACCACAGUGGCCCCAAAUGCACAAAUAACUGCAAAAAGACUACGCCAUGAGCUGGAGAUGGCCAAACAAAAAGUGGCAGCAGGAGAUGCUCAAGGAAGUGACCAAGGAGAGAGACUUUCUAAGGGAACAACUGGCUAUGACAAUAAAUAGGACAAGGGCGUUCCAUCAGAGGACAGCACAAGUCCCUUACAGCAAACCACUUCCGCCGCUUCAGCUACUUUCUCUUCUGAUUCCUCCGACUCGUCAUCCAACUCUUCAUAUGACUCUUCCU